rnacentral:rRNA from 1 species
GAUGAACGCUGGCGGCGUGCCUAAUACAUGCAAGUCGAGCGAACAGACGAGGAUCUUUCUCCUCUGACGUUAGCGGCGGACGGGUGAGUAACACGUGGAUACCCUACCUAUAAGACUGGGAUAACUUCGGGAAACCGGAGCUAAUACCGGAUAAUAUAUUGAACCUCAUGGUUCAAUAGUGAAAGACGGUUUUGCUGUCACUUAUAGAUGUAUCCGCGCCGCAUUAGCUAGUUGGUAAGGUAACGGCUUACCAAGGCAACGAUGCGUAGCCGACCUGAGAGGGUGAUCGGCCACACUGGAACUGAGACACGGUCCAGACUCCUACGGGAGGCAGCAGUAGGGAAUCUUCCGCAAUGGGCGAAAGCCUGACGGAGCAACGCCGCGUGAGUGAUGAAGGUCUUCGGAUCGUAAAACUCUGUUAUUAGGGAAGAACAAAUGUGUAAGUAACUAUGCACGUCUUGACGGUACCUAAUCAGAAAGCCACGGCUAACUACGUG